GGGGAAUUUUCCGCAAUGGGCGAAAGCCUGACGGAGCAAUCUCGCGUGAGGGAUGACUGCCNAUGGGUUGUAAACCUCUUAUAUCUCAGGGAGGAAUCAAAUGACGUGUACCUGAAUAAUNAUCAUCGGCUACCUCCGCCACCAGCCGCCGCGGAUACGACGGAGGAUGCAAGUGUCAUCCAAUNAUCACUGNGUNGUAAAGCNUCUGUACGGUGGUUCAAUAAGUCAAGCUGAUUAAACUCUUGAACCUCNACUUCAAAAGCGNAGGCNANUGCUGUUACACUAGANUAUAAUAGGGGAGUAANGGGAAUUUCCAGUUGGAGCGGUGAAAUGCGUAGAUNAUUGGAAAGAACACCUGAUGGCGAAGGCACUAUUACCGGGCUAUUACUGACACUCNGACACGAAACUAGGGUAGCAAAUGGU
rnacentral:rRNA from 1 species